UGUUCGGCAUUGAAAGGAACACGAGUAGUGGAUGAUCUCCCUGUUCAAGAGAGCUGAUGGUGGUGUAAAUCAGUACAAAGAUCAACAUGAAUUACAAUCCUGGAGCUUCUUUUUCGUAGCAAAGAGUCGUCUUUGUGAAGGGAAAGACGGUCAUAUUGAUCGUUAACAAAAUCGAGAGGUGAACAAGACUGUUCACAACUAGGGUGGUACCGCGAAAUCAAUUCGUCCCUACU
rnacentral:ncRNA from 2 species